rnacentral:rRNA from 1 species
UAGGGAAUCUUCCGCAAUGGACGAAAGUCUGACGGAGCAACGCCGCGUGAGCGAAGAAGGCCUUCGGGUCGUAAAGCUCUGUUGUUAGGGAAGAACAAGUACGAGAGUAACUGCUCGUACCUUGACGGUACCUAACCAGAAAGCCACGGCUAACUACGUGCCAGCAGCCGCGGUAAUACGUAGGUGGCAAGCGUUGUCCGGAAUUAUUGGGCGUAAAGCGCGCGCAGGCGGUCCUUUAAGUCUGAUGUGAAAGCCCACGGCUCAACCGUGGAGGGUCAUUGGAAACUGGGGGACUUGAGUGCAGAAGAGGAGAGUGGAAUUCCACGUGUAGCGGUGAAAUGCGUAGAGAUGUGGAGGAACACCAGUGGCGAAGGCGACUCUCUGGUCUGUAACUGACGCU